ensembl:lncRNA
CUCAGACAAACAACAGCAACUUGAACUGCACCAGUUAAGCUGAAGCUCAGUUCAGAAUGAAGAUCAUCAUCACCUUCUGCCUGAUCACAGGUCUAGUGAGCAGCACUAAUGUGAUAAGCUACUCUGGGGGCAGUGUAAUAAUGACCAUGGGUGAUCGUCAUCGGUGGAGCUCACACACUCCAAAGUAUAUCUGCAAGUUUGCAGGAGGUGCCUGCAAAACUGUAAUACAGUCUACUGCUCAAAAUGAUACUGUUUUUGAAGGAAGGUUCUCGCUGUAUGAAAGUAAACAAGGACAUUUCGGAGUGUUAAUCAGAGAGCUGAACCCACAGGAUGCUGGAAAAUACCGAUUUGGAUUGGCUAAUAAUUGGAAUCGGGAAAUAAAUCUGAAAGUUCACCAUGGUGAGGGAUUCGCAAUAAAGAACACAGUAAGCGUAGCAUUCUUUUCCAUAAAUGUACAUAAUGACCUGUUUUUAUGAUUGACAGAUGCUUGUUGUGGGAUGUCAAUGACAGUGGUUGGACAUCUGAACAAGGAUGUCAGCAUCAGUUGUGACUAUACAGUGGAACAUAAGAGAACAUGGAAGUACUUCUACAAACUGAAAGGUCACUCAGCUGAUUAGGUCAUUUUUACGAUGCCUGACAAAAACCACAAAGAAAAUCAGUUUUACAUCACUGAUGAUAAUCGUUUAAACCUUUUCACCAUGACCAUCCGUGAGUUGAAAGAAGAGGAUGGUGGGGUUUAUUUCUGUGGCACACAGACCUGGGAAUAUCCAAUCAAAGUGUUCUCUACAAUCAAAACUGUACAUCUCCAUGUUACUGGUGAGAUAAACAUGAAGUCAUCUAUUAGCAGUGGUGAACUGUGAUUAUUAGAGCUGGGCUUUCAGUUUAGGACUUUACAAAAGUCAAAACUUGUAGUAAUAGCCUGUAACAGACCUGAUUAGAAGACUUUUAAAGCUUGAAAAACAAUUUGCACAUUUUUUAUUUGAGGCUUGUAAAAGACAUUAACAUAUAGACAAAAAAUGAGCCACCUUGCAUGUUUAAGGUGGUAGUAGUAGAAGGAAAGGUCACCAGUUUUAUUCUGUGAAGGAUCUAGAACUUCUGGAAGUUUUUUUUUCCAUCCAUCCAUUUUCUAAGCCGCUUCUCCCUCAGAGUCGCGGGGGGGGGGUGCUGGAGGCUAUCCCAGUGGUCAUUGGGAGGAAGGCAGGAUACACCCUGGACAGGUCGUCAGCCCAUCGCGGGGCAGACAGACAGACAGACACAGACAGUCACUCACACCUAGGGGCAAUUUAGCACGUCCAAUUGGCCUGUUUUUUUUUAAUCCAAUUGCAAAUUGAAAUACCAUUGGUCGAUUCAUUCCUGUGUCUUUCUAAUUAUGUUAGUAGUUUAUUUAAAUUUUAAGGCCUUUAUUCCAGCUCCUGAAGUCCAAACCAGGGUAAAAUCUAGCUUAGCUGUAUUUAACUAGAUACCAAAAAUGUAUCGUAAAAUAAUAGUUUUACUAUAAUGCAAGUAGUCUUUAAAUACAUCAAAUAUGAUGAUUCUAUUAAAUAAAAAGACCUUAAAAUUACAGACUUGAAAUCACCUGACUUUCUCUGAAGGUCUAGAAAGUUCCACUGUUAUUUACUUUAUGGACUUGCUGAUGAGAUUCUAAUUGGUGUUUAACUUGACAGAUAAAGUUCAGAGUUCAGUCAGAGUGACUGGCUUCUUACGAGGACGCAUCAUGUUGAAAUGGGAAAUUUUUGUUAAGAAUUGCUUUUAUAGGUGUUUUUUUUUUCAAGUAAGAAGCGAUAACUAUAGCAAACGUACAGACACCAAUUCAUCCACACCAGUCAUAUUGGUAUCAGCACAGAUAUCGGCACUUAAACACAGUAUCGGUAUUGCUAAUAGGGAUACCGAUACCAUGCAGCAAUUUCCUCUCUCUCUCUCUCUCUCUCUCUCUCUCUCUCUCUCUCUCUCUCUCUCACUCUCUUUCUCGCUCUCUCUCUCUCUCUCGCUCUUUCUCUCUCUCUCUCGCUCUUUCUCUCUCUCUCUGUGGUUUACUCCUCUUCCUUUCACAGAUGUUCAUCCUUAAAUGACAUGCCGGCAGUCAGUCCAGAGGUGCACUCUCAGAAAAAACUGUCACUGGUGUGGUUCCCUCAAGGGUACGUCUCCAGUUCCUUUAUUUAGGAACCAUAUUUGUACUGAAUUACAUUGCAGUUAUAUUUUUUAAGUUGCUUUGACUCUAUACACCAUGUAUCGUCUCCA